rnacentral:lncRNA from 1 species
CUUGUUCCUUGUCAAUCAUUGGCUUAUCGUUGUUGCCGGGACAGAAGCUGACAAUGGAAACACAUAAUGUAUGUUUCAGAGUGCUGUUUCCUCCAGUCAGGAUGGGAUCUCUGCAGCAGAGGUGGAGCUGAGAGUCAGACCAGGAGACAACAUCACUCUCUACUGUGACUGUAACAUAACUUCUGGAGUAUACAUUAUGUGGUAUAGGAACUGUUCUCACAAGUACCAGCCUCCUCUAGUUAUUUCAACUAAGUUUUUAAGUUACAUCUCUCUCCCUGGAUAUAAUGUGGUGUGGAACCCCUCUAACAUCUCCUAUGAUCUACUGAUUGAGAACAUCACUGAAUCUGACCUGGGACUCUACUACUG